GAAUGACCUAGCCCAGAGGCGCCCCCACAGCCGUGCGCCCACGCAGACACCGACCCAUCUUCGACAGAAGGAGGAAGGACAGAAAAGCAGGGGACUCCGGACGUCUGGUGAGAGACAGAAGCUCAGCAAAGAUAAUGAUGUUCUGUGCAGAGCCAGUGGGGGGAGAGCAGCAUCUGCGAGUCUAGAGGAAUAGAUGUUCUAACCGCCAGCAUAUUCAGAGGUCUGCCUGGAGAGCCGAGGUGAAAGCCAGGACAGUCCUGAGACUAAGCAUCAUCUGGUCACCUUGCACCUGGCUCUGUAUCUAGCCAGAAGAAACAAACUUAGAAAACAAGAUAACUGAGAGUCGUAGUCCCUUGUCAUCAUGGUGGGAAGGAGGCAUCAUGGCAGGUGUGGCAGGUCUGCUGCAGGUGAAGCAGUUGAGAGCUACCUCCUGAUCUGCAGACAGUGUGGGGAUUACCCAGCCUGGAUCUUUGAAAUAUCAAAGCCCACCCCCAGUGCCACACUUCCUGUAGCAAGGCCACACCUACUAAUCCUUCCAAUACUUUCAAACCGUCUGGUCCCUGGUGCGUAAGCAUUCAAAUAUAUGAGCCUAUGAGGACCAUUCUUAUUCAAACCAUCACUGAAAAGACACCCAUUGUCAAUCCCCAGUCUCCACAUGCAGGUGUAUACACAUGCACCUGCACUCAGGGAACGUAUCCACACACGAAAGAAAAUAAUAAUAAAAUAAGUAUCAUGCGGUAAUGAGCAUUAUGGUUACAUGUAUUGGUAUUCUUCAUCAGUGUUGAAAAAUUGAGUACUGGCCAGUAAAUAACAUCCUAUAGAUUACACUCACCUUCAUGGCUGCCAGCCGGAGCUGAGCCAGACAUCUGUGCAGCAUGCCAGUGUUUUAAGAAUUCCAAGUGAU